AUUGAACGCUGGCGGCAGGCCUAACACAUGCAAGUCGAGCGGAUGAAGGGAGCUUGCUCCUGGAUUCAGCGGCGGACGGGCGAGUAAUGCCUAGGAAUCUGCCUGGUAGUGGGGGAUAACGUCCGGAAACGGGCGCUAAUACCGCAUACGUCCUGAGGGAGAAAGUGGGGGCUCUUCGGACCUCACGCUAUCAGAUGAGCCUAGGUCGGAUUAGCUAGUUGGUGGGGUAAAGGCCUACCAAGGCGACGAUCCGUAACUGGUCUGAGAGGAUGAUCAGUCACACUGGAACUGAGACACGGUCCAGACUCCUACGGGAGGCAGCAGUGGGGAAUAUUGGACAAUGGGCGGAAGCCUGAUCCAGCCAUGCCGCGUAUGUGAAGAAGGUCUUCGGAUUGUAGAGCACUUUAAGUUGGGAGGAAGGGCAGUGAGUUAAUACCUUGCUGUUUUGACGUUACCAACAGAAUAAGCACCGGCUAACUUCGUG
rnacentral:rRNA from 1 species